rnacentral:rRNA from 1 species
GUACUGUGCGAACGUUAUUCGGAAUCACUGGGCUUAAAGGGUGCGUAGGCGGCCGUUCAAGUCGGGUGUGAAAUCUCUCGGCUCAACCGAGGAAUUGCGCUCGAAACUAGACGGCUUGAGUAAGAUAGGGGUGUGUGGAACUUCCAGUGGAGCGGUGAAAUGUGUUGAUAUUGGAAGGAACGCCGGUAGCGAAAGCGACACACUGGGUCUUAACUGACGCUGAGGCACGAAAGCCAGGGUAGCGAACGGGGAUUAGAUACCCCGGUAGUCCUGGCUGUAAACGUUGAGUACUAGACGGGAGGGACUUCGGUUCAUCCGGUCGCAGCGAAGCACUAAGUGCUCCGCCUGGGGAGUAUGGUCGCAAGGCUG